AGUGAACGCUGGCGGUAGGCCUAACACAUGCAAGUCGAACGGCAGCACAGUAAGAGCUUGCUCUUACGGGUGGCGAGUGGCGGACGGGUGAGGAAUACAUCGGAAUCUACUUUUUCGUGGGGGAUAACGUAGGGAAACUUACGCUAAUACCGCAUACGACCUACGGGUGAAAGCAGGGGAUCUUCGGACCUUGCGCGAUUGCAUGAGCCGAUGUCGGAUUAGCUAGUUGGCGGGGUAAAGGCCCACCAAGGCGACGAUCCGUAGCUGGUCUGAGAGGAUGAUCAGCCACACUGGAACUGAGACACGGUCCAGACUCCUACGGGAGGCAGCAGUGGGGAAUAUUGGACAAUGGGCGCAAGCCUGAUCCAGCCAUACCGCGUGGGUGCAGAAGGCCUUCGGGUUGUAAAGCCCUUUUGUUGGGAAAGAAAAGCAGCAGGUUAAUACCCCGCUGUUCUGACGGUACCCAAAGAAUAAGCACCGGCUAACUUCGUG
rnacentral:rRNA from 1 species